rnacentral:rRNA from 1 species
GACGAACGCUGGCGGCGUGCCUAACACAUGCAAGUCGAGCGAACCAAUAGGAGCUUGCUCCUGUUGGUCAGCGGCGGACGGGUGAGUAACACGUGGGCAACCUGCCUGUAAGACUGGGAUAACACCGGGAAACCGGUGCUAAUACCGGAUAAUCUUUUUCCUCUCAUGAGGAAAAACUGAAAGUCGGUUUCGGCUGACACUUACAGAUGGGCCCGCGGCGCAUUAGCUAGUUGGUGAGGUAACGGCUCACCAAGGCGACGAUGCGUAGCCGACCUGAGAGGGUGAUCGGCCACACUGGGACUGAGACACGGCCCAGACUCCCACGGGAGGCAGCAGUAGGGAAUCUUCCACAAUGGACGAAAGUCUGAUGGAGCAACGCCGCGUGAGCGAUGAAGGCCUUCGGGUCGUAAAGCUCUGUUGUUAGGGAAGAACAGGUACCGGAGUAACUGCCGGUGCCUUGACGGUACCUAACCAGAAAGCCACGGCUAACUACGUGCCAGCCGCCGCGGUAA